rnacentral:rRNA from 1 species
CCCUUAGAUGUCCUGGGCCGCACGCGCGCUACACUGAUGCAUUCAACGAGUUUUACCUUGGCCGAGAGGCCUGGGCAAUCUUUUAAACCUGCAUCGUGAUAGGGAUAGAUUAUUGCAAUUAUUAAUCUUGAACGAGGAAUUCCUAGUAAACGCAAAUCAUCAAUUUGCAUUGAUUACGUCCCUGCCCUUUGUACACACCGCCCGUCGCUCCUACCGAUUGAAUGUUCCGGUGAGCUCUUCGGACUGCGCGGUCUGCAGUUUCUGCGUUCCGUGCGGAAAGUUGCGCAAACCUUAACAUUUAGAGGAAGGAGAAGUCGUAACA